AAAUUUGGUACAUAUGGCGGCGCAUCGUGUUGCGUUGAAUACGAUCGAGUGAAGUGUUGAAUAUUGCAACGAAAGUUUUUACUGUAAAAUUGUGAGCUUUUGUAAUAACUAAAUAAGGUUAUCUUGUUUUUACGUCCUUGGCAUCAAGAUGCUGAAAGUGUAACUGACAAGUACCAUUAGAAAAAUCUGAUCGAUGAAAAGGUAAACAAUGUCCAGCAGCAGUUCUGAAAGUAGUGACGAUAGUCGUCACGAAAAAUCACGGAGAAGACGUAAACAUAGACGCGACGAGAGCCCUAACCAAGACAGACGAUCAAACAGAAAGGAAUCAAGCAGCAAGAAUAAAAAUUACAGAGACAGUAGAGAAGGUAGGGACGUUCAUAAAUUUAGCAGAGACGUAAGAAGAGAAAAUAAUGAUGUGCAUCGUGAUAGAUCGCAACGCGAACGGGAUAGGGAAUAUAGGAAUAGUCGACAUGAUCAUCCAAGGAGAGACGAUGACAAACAGAAUGACAGGAGAAGGUUUGAAAGAUCUCCCUUGAGAAGAGAAGAACCUCGUUCAAGGCACAGAGAGUAUGAGGAAAAAGGAAGGAGGUAUAAUAGGGAUGCAGCUGAACACAGAAGAUACGAUGAUAAUAGAGAAAGGAAAAACACUUUUGAAGAAUCAAAAAUGAGAAAGGAACACCCUUCACCAGAAUGGGGUAAACCAAAUGUGAAAACAGAACCUAAACCAAAGCCUCAAGAAAAGGAAAAACCAAAUUUUGAGUUGUCUGGAAAAUUAACAGAAGAUGCAAAUACUGUAAAUGGAGUAGUCAUUAAAUAUUCUGAACCAUCGGAUGCAAGAAAACCUAAACGUAGAUGGAGAUUAUAUCCCUUCAAAGGGGAAAAAGCAUUACCUACAUUGUAUGUUCACAGACAAUCGGCAUAUUUGAUGGGUAGAGAUCGGAAGAUUGCUGAUAUUCCUUUGGAUCAUCCUUCGUGUUCAAAACAACAUGCGGUUUUACAGUAUCGUUUAGUAUCUUUUCAAAGAGAAGGAGGUGGUGAAGGAAGAAGAAUCCGCCCUUACCUUAUAGAUUUAGAGUCUGCGAAUGGUACAUUUGUAAAUAAUGUAAAAUUAGAACCUCGAAGAUAUCACGAAUUACUGGAGAGAGAUGUAUUACGUUUUGGAUUCAGCUCUAGAGAAUAUGUCUUGUUACAUGAACACAGCAAAGAUGAUUCCUUAGACGACGAUGUUCCCUUAAGUACCACAAAUACAACAACUACUGUUACUACUACUACUACAACUACCGCAUAGGUGCUACAACAAGUCAGUGAUUAAUAACUAAAACUGAUACAGUUACAGUUAAAAACUUUCUGCCACAGUAAACCUAUAAUUAAUGCUCCAGAUAUUUCGGUGUCUCGCUGGACUGCGAUGUGAGCGUCGCAUUAUGAGAAUUCUGAA
rnacentral:misc_RNA from 1 species